AGAGUUUGAUCCUGGCUCAGAUUGAACGCUGGCGGCAGGCUUAACACAUGCAAGUCGAGCGGAGAUGAGGUGCUUGCACCUUAUCUUAGCGGCGGACGGGUGAGUAAUGCUUAGGAAUCUGCCUAUUAGUGGGGGACAACAUUCCGAAAGGAAUGCUAAUACCGCAUACGUCCUACGGGAGAAAGCAGGGGAUCUUCGGACCUUGCGCUAAUAGAUGAGCCUAAGUCGGAUUAGCUAGUUGGUGGGGUAAAGGCCUAUCAAGGCGACGAUCUGUAGCGGGUCUGAGAGGAUGAUCCGCCACACUGGGACUGAGACACGGCCCAGACUCCUACGGGAGGCAGCAGUGGGGAAUAUUGGACAAUGGGGGGAACCCUGAUCCAGCCAUGCCCCGUGUGUGAAGAAGGCCUUAUGGUUGUAAAGCACUUUAAGCGAGGAGGAGGCUACUGAGACUAAUACUCUUGGAUAGUGGACGUUACUCGCAGAAUAAGCACCGGCUAACUCUGUGCCAGCAGCCGCGGUAAUACAGAGGGUGCGAGCGUUAAUCGGAUUUACUGGGCGUAAAGCGUGCGUAGGCGGCUUUUUAAGUCGGAUGUGAAAUCCCCGAGCUUAACUUGGGAAUUGCAU
rnacentral:rRNA from 1 species